GCUUAUCGCGAAAGACGGAGGGAUCGGCCCUGUGAUGUCUUGGCAACCCGUGUAAUGAGGGCGGGUGCCAAAUCCGACUUCUGCCUCAAGGCAGGGGAAAGAUGAG
rnacentral:ncRNA from 1 species